rnacentral:rRNA from 1 species
GAUGAACGCUGGCGGCGUGCCUAAUACAUGCAAGUCGAGCGAACGGACGAGAAGCUUGCUUCUCUGAUGUUAGCGGCGGACGGGUGAGUAACACGUGGAUAACCUACCUAUAAGACUGGGAUAACUUCGGGAAACCGUAGCUAAUACCGGAUAAUAUUUUGAACCGCAUGGUUCAAAAGUGAAAGACGGUCUUGCUGUCACUUAUAGAUGGAUCCGCGCUGCAUUAGCUAGUUGGUAAGGUAACGGCUUACCAAGGCAACGAUGCAUAGCCGACCUGAGAGGGUGAUCGGCCACACUGGAACUGAGACACGGUCCAGACUCCUACGGGAGGCAGCAGUAGGGAAUCUUCCGCAAUGGGCGAAAGCCUGACGGAGCAACGCCGCGUGAGUAAUGAAGGUCUUCGGAUCGUAAAACUCUGUUAUUAGGGAAGAACAUAUGUGUAAGUAACUGUGCACAUCUUGACGGUACCUAAUCAGAAAGCCACGGCUAACUACGUG